AACCGUGAGACAGGUGCUGCNNNAUGGCUNUCGUCAGCUCGUGUUGUGAAAUGUUGGGUUAAGUCCCGCAACGAGCGCAACCCCCCUUUAUCCUUNGUUGCCAGCGGUCCGGCCGGGAACUCAAAGGAGACUGCCAGUGAUAAACUGGAGGAAGGUGGGGAUGACGUCAAGUCAUCAUGGCCCUUACGACCAGGGCGACAUGCGUGCUACAAUGGCGNAUACAAAGAGAAGCGACCNCGCGAGAGCAAGCGGACCUCAUAAAGUAACGUCGUAGUCCGGAUUGGAGUCUGCAACUCGACUCCAUGAAGUCGGAAUCGCUAGUAAUCGUGGGAUCAGAAUGCCACGGUGAAUACGUUCCCGGGCCUUGUACACACCGCCCGUCACACCCAUGGGAGUGGGUUGCAAAAGAAGUAGGUAGCUUAACCUUCGGGAGGCUUACCAAAAAGUUUGUGAUUCAUGACUGGGGUGAAGUCGUAACAAGGUA
rnacentral:rRNA from 1 species